rnacentral:rRNA from 1 species
UACGUAGGUGGCAAGCGUUGUCCGGAUUUAUUGGGUUUAAAGGGUGCGUAGGCGGCUUUGUAAGUCAGUGGUGAAAUACUCUAGCUUAACUAGAGGGGUGCCAUUGAUACUGCAGAGCUUGAGUACAGAUGAGGUAGGCGGAAUUGACGGUGUAGCGGUGAAAUGCAUAGAUAUCGUCAAGAACACCGAUAGCGAAGGCAGCUUACUGGGCUGUAACUGACGCUGAGGAGCGAAAGCGUGGGGAGCGAACAGG